rnacentral:rRNA from 1 species
UACGGAGGGAGCUAGCGUUGUUCGGAAAUACUGGGCGUAAAGCGCACGUAGGCGGCGCAGCAAGUCAGGGGUGAAAUCCCGGGGCUCAACCCCGGAACUGCCCUUGAAACUGCGUAGCUAGAGUCCUGGAGAGGAAGGUGGAAUGCUUGGUGUAGAGGUGAAAUUCGUAGAUAUCAAGCGGAACACCGGUGGCGAAGGCGACCUUCUGGACAGUGACUGACGCUGAGACGCGAAAGCGUGGGGAGCAAACAGG